AUGAUCCUACGGGGGGCAGCAGUGGGGAAUAUUGCACAAUGGGGGGAACCCUGAUGCAGCGACGCCGCGUGAGUGAAGAAGUAUUUCGGUAUGUAAAGCUCUAUCAGCAGGGAAGAUAAUGACGGUACCUGACUAAGAAGCCCCGGCUAACUACGUGCCAGCAGCCGCAGUAAUACGUAGGGGGCAAGCGUUAUCCGGAUUUACUGGGUGUAAAGGGAGCGUAGACGGUUAUGCAAGUCUGGAGUGAAAGGCGGGGGCCCAACCCCCGGACUGCUUUGGAAACUGUAUAACUGGAGUGCAGGAGG
rnacentral:rRNA from 1 species